UUUUGCUGAGACGGGAGACAACUUCACAUGCCUCGCUUCAGACACUUGCCCGGACCACGGCAAACUCCUUCAGAGAUCAUUCCCUCCGCCAAGCGCCUCUAGAUUGACCUACAUUAAUACAAAUUUCGACCUUCCUUCAGCUCCAACAGGCCGCCCCCUUCAAACAACCAGUUUCGGUGCUGAAAACUCGUAAAAAGGUGAAGAAUACUGGUUCCACUGUCAUCCAGCUAGCAGCCGUUCAAUUCCCUCCUCCUAGUCUAAUUCUCUCCCAAUAAUCGUUUGAGGCAGGUGCAGGAAAUUAUUUUCUGGUUGAGUUUCAAGCUCUCGGAGGCGCAUAGCUCACUGCAAUGUUACGGAGGUCGAUUUUGGAAAUAUCAUCCCGACGAACUCUUGGAAUAAACCCGAGACGUUUUACAAAUCGGGCAAUACCUUCAUGCCUGUCUUCACGAAAAAAAUUCUCGACUGCAUCUAAAUCAGGUGGGGACUCUAUUCCUGGCUCCGCAGGCAAGCCACCUGAAUCUCAAGGCUCUUUAUCAAAGUUUGUCAUUGGCAGUUUUGCUGUUGGUGCUGCUUUUUUGGCAGCAUACCAAGCUGGUUUUCUGGACCAAUAUCUUAGGAAAGACCAGCUCAGUGUUCCCCAGGAUGCGGAGAUUAAUGUUACCAAUGAAAAUUCUAAAAACCUCCAGCAUUCAGUGGAACAGUUAGUAUCACCUGGCAGUGAGAAAUUGAGCAGUGGAAGUCCUUCUCCGGAGGUUCAAGAGCAAAAGAUGGAUACCCAACUUCCUGAUCUUAAAAAUGUAACAGAAGACAUUGGUGAUAAGCAUAUUAAAGUGCAAGACAAAUUUGAUAAUGAAGAGGGCACUGUCAAUGCCAAAGAAAGUGAGCUGCCUGAAUUUCCUCAAAGCAAUGCAGAACCUGUUGAUUUAGGUAAGGAGUCAUUGAUACAACCAAAAGAGAUUGAUGACAUAAGCAAAGAGUCUGACACCAACACGGGACUAGAAGAGCGAACUCAACAAGCACCCACAUCUACUUUGCCUACUGCUGGUCCAGAUGAAAAAGGGGUAGAAAACACUGAACCACUGCAAGAGGUGUUGGAGGAUAGAAAACAGGACACGGGAGAUAAAGGCCUAGAACAGCCAUCUCCUCUCCUUGAGGAAUAUCACUUGAGGAAUAAGGACGAAGAAAGUGCUGGAACUUUUUUGUCUAGUGAAGGGUUUACUGAGAAUAGCCAAUUUUAUGAAGAAAAAGAGGCACUUAGUAGUGCAAUGGAGGGGCUUAAAGAUGGAUACGUCUCUAAGGAUGGGAAACUGGUUCUUGAUUUCUUACAAGCAAUCCAUGCUGCUGAGAAAAGGCAAGCUGACUUGGAUGCGCGUGUUUUUAAUGAAGAGAAGAAAAUGUUGAAGGAAAAGUAUGAAAAAAGGUUGAAAGAUGCAGCUGCUAGAGAACUUAUGCGGGCUGAAGAGGUUGCAAUGUUGGAUAAGCAGCUAAAGCGAGAAAGAUCUAAAGCAGCCCUUGCUAUCAAGUCACUUCAAGAAAAGAUGGAAGAGAAACUGAAAAUGGAACUUGAACAAAAGGAAAGUGAAGCGGAAAUGAAGUUGAAAAAAGUUAAGGAAUUAGCUGAGGCAGAGUUAAAUGCAGCCAUAGCAAAUGAGAAGUUAGCCCAACUUGAAAAAUUGGUCGAAGCAUAUGUUGAUAUAAAUGCCUUGAGCAUGGCAUUUUAUGCUCGAUCUGAAGAAGCUCGACAAAGUCAUGCGGCAAACCAUUUUUCUAUGGGAGCUCUUGCCCUGGAAGAUGCACUGUCAAAAGGAUUGCCUAUUCAUAAAGAAGUUGCAUCUUUGCAGCCAUAUCUUGAAGGCGUGGAUAAAGAUUCAGUUUUAGGAUUGGUGCUAGCAUCCCUUCCUGAAGAGACAAAGAACAGUGGCACAGACACGCAGCUGCUGUUAAAACAGAAGUUUGAUUCUCUAAAAGGUGCAAUCCGGCACUUCAGUUUCUUCCCACCUGGGGGUGGAGGGAUAUUGGCUCAUUCUUUGGCUCAUAUAGCAUGCUGGUUAAAGGUUAGGGAAAGUGACCAGUUGGGUGAUGGGAUUGAAUCCAUUAUAAAUAGAGUUGAGUUUUACUUGGCUCAAGGAAAACUUGCUGAAGCAGCGGACGUUCUGGAAGAGAGUGUCAGAGGCACACAAGCUGCAGAAAUUGUUGCGGAUUGGGUGAGACAAGCAAGAAACAGAGCUAUUUCUGAGCAGGCUCUAACUCUUCUUCAGUCUUAUGCCUCUUCUAUUAGCCUUACAUAAAUCUCAAAUUAGGAAUAUUCACAGAACCGUAUUGAUUUAAUCCCUAAGCACGCAGAGGUUAUCUGAUUCUCUCAAGUUGCCAGCUGGAUUUGCCAAGAUUUUCUCUUUGGUGUCAGCUGAAAUGGCUGAUUAUAUCUUUUUCCUUACAUAGAUGUAACUCCAAUUUGCUGGAGUGAUAUUAGGAGCACAGAAAAUUGAAGUGUUCGUUGCGGAUAAAUUCAAUAAUGACCGAGACCAAGAGAACAAAAUGAUUGAGUGCCAAAUACUUCUCAGCAUCAGUGCUUUCAUUUUACAGGGACCAUGCCCGGACAGGGUUGCUAUGGAGCUGAAAAUCAUGAACUUUUUUUUGGUGAUGCGAAAAUCUUGACAUUCAUAUUAAUCACACAGUUGUAAGGCCAAGUUAAUUGUUUUUGUCCUGUAGUAAAAUGUAGCACCUUGGAUAA